rnacentral:rRNA from 1 species
AGAAUCAACGCUGGCGGCGUGCCUAACACAUGCAAGUCGAACGAGAAAGUGGAGCAAUCCAUGAGUAAAGUGGCGCACGGGUGAGUAACACGUGACUAACCUACCCUUGAGUGGGGAAUAACUUCGGGAAACCGAGGCUAAUACCGCAUAACACCUACGGGUCAAAGCAGCAAUGCGCUUGGAGAGGAGUUCGCGGCCGAUUAGUUAGUUGGCGGGGUAAUGGCCCACCAAGACGAUGAUCGGUA